UCUUUUAGAUGUUCCGAGAAA
rnacentral:piRNA from 1 species